UACGGAGGGUGCAAGCGUUAUCCGGAUUUACUGGGUUUAAAGGGUGUGUAGGCGGGUCUUUAAGUCAGUGGUGAAAUCUCCGAGCUUAACUUGGAAACUGCCAUUGAUACUAUUGAUCUUGAAUUUUGUUGAGGUAGGCGGAAUAAGUCAUGUAGCGGUGAAAUGCAUAGAUAUGACUUAGAACACCAAUUGCGAAGGCAGCUUGCUAAACAAAUAAUUGACGCUGAGGCACGAAAAGCGUGGGGGAUCAAACAGG
rnacentral:rRNA from 1 species